rnacentral:tRNA from 1 species
GGCCCCAUCGUCUAGUGGACCAGGACGGGUGGUUCUCAGCCAUCAGACACGGGUUCGAAUCCCGUUGGGGCUA